rnacentral:rRNA from 1 species
GACGAACGCUGGCGGCGUGCUUAACACAUGCAAGUCGAACGGAAAGGCCCUGCUUUUGUGGGGUGCUCGAGUGGCGAACGGGUGAGUAACACGUGAGUAACCUGCCCUUGACUUUGGGAUAACUUCAGGAAACUGGGGCUAAUACCGGAUAGGAGCUCCUGCUGCAUGGUGGGGGUUGGAAAGUUUCGGCGGUUGGGGAUGGACUCGCGGCUUAUCAGCUUGUUGGUGGGGUAGUGGCUUACCAAGGCUUUGACGGGUAGCCGGCCUGAGAGGGUGACCGGCCACCAUGGGACUGCGGUACGGCCCAGAAUGCUACGGGGGGCAGCAGGGGGGAAUAUUGCACAAUGGGGCGAAGCCUGAUGCAGCAACGCCGGGUGCGGGAUGACGGGCUUCGGGUUGUGAACCGCUUUCGCCUGUGACGGAGCCGUAGUGACGGUAAUGGGUAAAAAAGCAACGGCUAACUACGUG